rnacentral:rRNA from 1 species
GACGAACGCUGGCGGCGUGCUUAACACAUGCAAGUCGAACGGAAAGGCCCUGCUUUUGUGGGGUGCUCGAGUGGCGAACGGGUGAGUAACACGUGAGUAACCUGCCCUUGACUUUGGGAUAACUUCAGGAAACUGGGGCUAAUACCGGAUAGGAGCUCCUGCUGCAUGGUGGGGGUUGGAAAGUUUCGGCGGUUGGGGAGGGACUCGCGGCUUAUCAGCUUGUUGGUGGGGUAGUGGCUUACCAAGGCUUUGACGGGUAGCCGGCCUGAGAGGGUGACCGGCAACAUUGGGACUGAGAUACGGCCCAGACUCCUACGGGAGGCAGCAGUGGGGAAUAUUGCACAAUGGGCGGAAGCCUGAUGCAGCAACGCCGCGUGCGGGAUGACGGCCUUCGGGUUGUAAACCGCUUUCGCCUGUGACGAAGCGUGAGUGACGGUAAUGGGUAAAGAAGCACCGGCUAACUACGUG